AAAUUGAAGAGUUUGAUCAUGGCUCAGAUUGAACGCUGGCGGCAGGCCUAACACAUGCAAGUCGAACGGUAGCACAGAGAGCUUGCUCUCGGGUGACGAGUGGCGGACGGGUGAGUAAUGUCUGGGAAACUGCCCGAUGGAGGGGGAUAACUACUGGAAACGGUAGCUAAUACCGCAU
rnacentral:rRNA from 1 species